CAGGGACGAGCACAUGCAAGUCGAACGAUGCUUUCGGGCAUCAAGGCGCACGGGUGCGUAACGCGUGGGAAUCUGCCCUUGGGUUCGGAAUAACAGCGAGAAAUUGCUGCUAAUACCGGAUAAUGACGUAAGUCCAAAGAUUUAUCGCCCAGGGAUGAGCCCGCGUAGGAUUAGCUAGUUGGUGGGGUAAAGGCCUACCAAGGCGACGAUCCUUAGCUGGUCUGAGAGGAUGAUCAGCCACACUGGGACUGAGACACGGCCCAGACUCCUACGGGAGGCAGCAGUGGGGAAUAUUGGACAAUGGGCGAAAGCCUGAUCCAGCAAUGCCGCGUGAGUGAUGAAGGCCCUAGGGUUGUAAAGCUCUUUUACCCGGGAUGAUAAUGACAGUACCGGGAGAAUAAGCUCCGGCUAACUCCGUGCCAGCAGCCGCGGUAAU
rnacentral:rRNA from 1 species